rnacentral:sRNA from 1 species
GCCAGGCAUGGUGGCACAUGCCUGUAAUCCCAGUGGCUCAGGAGGCCGAGACAGGAGGAUUGAGAGUUCAAAGCCAGCCUCAGCAAAAGCAAGGUGCUAAGCAGCUCAGUGAGACCCUGUCUCUA